AUUGAACGCUGGCGGCAUGCCUUACACAUGCAAGUCGAACGGCAACGGACCUUCGGGUGCUGGCGAGUGGCGAACGGGUGAGUAAUGCAUCGGAACGUGCCAUUGAGUGGGGGAUAACGUAGCGAAAGUUACGCUAAUACCGCAUAUUCUGUGAGCAGGAAAGCAGGGACCGCAAGGCCUUGCGCUCUUUGAGCGGCCGAUGUCAGAUUAGCUAGUUGGUGAGGUAAAAGGCUUACCAAGGCGACGAUCUGUAGCGGGUCUGAGAGGAUGAUCCGCCACACUGGAACUGAGACACGGUCCAGACUCCUACGGGAGGCAGCAGUGGGGAAUUUUGGACAAUGGCGCAAGACCUGAUCCAG
rnacentral:rRNA from 1 species